rnacentral:rRNA from 1 species
UACGAAGGGGGCAAGCGUUGUUCGGAAUGACUGGGCGUAAAGGGCGCGUAGGCGGUCGGCCGCGUCAGAUGUGAAAGCCCCGGGCUCAACCUGGGAAUGGCAUUUGAGACGGGUCGGCUCGAGUGCGGGAGAGGAUGGUGGAAUUCCCAGUGUAGAGGUGAAAUUCGUAGAUAUUGGGAAGAACACCGAGGGCGAAGGCAGCCAUCUGGACCGACACUGACGCUGAGGCGCGACAGCGUGGGGAGCAAACAGGAUUAGAAACCCCCGUAGUCC